ensembl:lncRNA
CAGCAAGAAAAGGGAAAGUAGCUGCACAAACUAGAAAUAAGAGGCAAAUAGAGAGAGUUUACGUAGGGAGUGCUAGAAAACAAGGGAUUCCAAGCACUUUCACAGACACUAGGUCAGGAAUAACAGGGAGGAUGAAGGCCAUCGAGAUAAGGGCUGGAGAGCAGCUCGAAAACACGUGGCAGGGAGCUGAUUAGAUGUCUACAGGGCAAGCUGAAACCUUUUCGGGGGAUGCCCCCCCUUCGGGGUCACAAGUGUGCAAUGAGGAAGACUACGAGCCUUCGCGAGGAAGACUACAAGCCUUCAUCAUCACGACCUUCUACGCACUCGCAAAAGGGGAAGGGACUGCAUGCUAAUGGGCUCUCUGGAAUGUAAUGAAUAGGUCUCCGAAUUCC